AUUGAACGCUGGCGGCAGGCCUAACACAUGCAAGUCGAGCGGAGCGGCGGACGGGUGAGUAAUGCCUAGGAAUCUGCCUGGUAGUGGGGGAUAACGUCCGGAAACGGGCGCUAAUACCGCAUACUAUCAGAUGAGCCUAGGUCGGCUUAGCUAGUUGGUGGGGUAACGGCAUACCAAGGCGACGAUCCGUACCUGGUCUGAGAGGAUGAUCAGUCACACUGGAACUGAGACACGGUCCAGACGCCGACGGGAGGCAGCAGUGGGGAAGAUUGGACAAGGGGCGAAAGCCUGAUCCAGCCAUGCCGCGUGUGUGAAGAAGGUCUUCGGAUUGGAAAGCACUUUAAGUUGGGAGGCGUUACCCGCAGAAGAAGCACCGGCUAACUCCGUGCCAGCAGCCGCUGUAAUAC
rnacentral:rRNA from 1 species